UACGGAGGGUGCGAGCGUUGUCCGGAAUCACUGGGCGUAAAGGGCGCGUAGGCGGCUUCUCAAGCGUGUGGUGAAAGUCCGGGGCUCAACCCCGGAUCGGCCGUGCGGACUGGGGAGCUCGAGUUCUGUAGAGGCGGGUGGAAUUCCGGGUGUAGCGGUGGAAUGCGUAGAGAUCCGGAAGAACACCGGUGGCGAAGGCGGUCUGCUGGGCCAAGACUGACGCUGAGGCGCGACAGCGUGGGGAGCAAACAGG
rnacentral:rRNA from 1 species